UUCCAGCCAAGGAAAAGGCAGCC
rnacentral:piRNA from 1 species